GAGGAUAUGGCUAUGGAAGUGGAAAUGGAAACUCUGGUGGCGGCGGCUCUGGUGGGACCGGUGGUUCUGGUGGGGGAGGUGGUGGUUCAGGCGACCAUAGCACGCACUCUCCAUGGGAGGCUAAAGACAGAAAUCACCACGGUUAAAGCUUGAGAAGAGCGGUCAUUAUAUAUACAUAUACAUAUAAAGCUAGGCCGCGCUUGCAUGCUUUCUAGCAAAUAUGUAAGAUGGAAUGUGGGAGUUAUAAUUAAGUUAUAGUAUUUUAUGUAGUCUUAUAGUUUUGGUUUCCAGAUAAUAUAUAUAUAUAUAUGUGUGUGUGUGUAACAUAUACACCUGAACCUGACUAAUGCUCAAGAAUACUCAACUUAUAUAUAUAUAUAUAUAUAUAUAUAUAGUGACUGUUUGUCUAAAUCUAUGGUUUAACUCGAUAUUAUUUGGGUCAUUCUGGAUUUGUUUAUCCCAGCUUUUCUGGUCUUUUUAGUUUUCUUGUGCUUUAAGCUCAUUUUUAGAACAACUUUUUUCCCAUUUUCCCAUUAAAGGGCAAGCUCGGCGCAGUCAUGAAUUUAAUCCUAAAAGUCAAAUUUAAAGUUAGGAUCUAACUGAAGGGAUCUAAUUUUGGCGUUUCAUUCAUUUAAUUUAAUUUGAAUUUAGGCAUUAAAAUCAUGCUCAUUUCUUAUUCUACUGCUAUUAAUUUUAAACUGGAGAAACAUAAUUACAAAUCCAACCGUUUAAUUUGAAUUUGGGUUGUAGCCCAAAUAAUUAGUUUGGGUCUUAAUCCGUAUUCAUUUGGGCUUUUAAACCCAAUUUAGAAACUGAAAUUUAUUGGGUACGUUCUUUUUUUUUUUUGGCUGUCUUCUCUUCUACCUUUUUUCUCCUUCUUUCCAUGUGUGAACACCAUUAACAUUAUGUAAAAUUUUUUGAUACACAUAAUAAUAUAACAGCUAUUUGGCAGUAAUAUAAUAUAACUAUAUUGUAUAAUACCCAAAUUUUAUCCAUCCAUGUACGUAUUGAUCGCUGAUAAUUCUAAUUUUUUUAACAUAUUUUCUAAAAUUUUUCACUGUUUUCUCUAUAUCAUUAAUUUCCUCUUGUAUAUUUAAGAACUCUUAGAUUUUUCUUAGAAAAUGAAAAAAAUAAUAAUAAUAACAUUACAUUGAUAUUUUUUAAAAGUAUUUAAUAUUAAUUUAUUGUUAAUAAUUCUAUAUUUAUUAUAAAUUUAUGUAAAUAACAUUUAUUUUAAAAUUAAAUUUUUAUAUAUUAUUUUUGUUACAAAAUGAAGAAGAAAACACAACAUAAUGAACUAGAUGUUAUAUAUUCUAGACCAAAAUACUCCAAAGAGAUCGUUUCUAGUAAAAUUGAGGAGAUUAACAAAAGAUUGAGGAUAAAAAUAAAGGCACAGGGAAGCUAAGAAAUCAGCGUAUUAAUUCCCUUCUCUACAAACAUAUUAAACAUGAACAGUCCAAUUCUUGUCUAUAUGCAUUUUUAUAGCUUGUCAGGCAUUGAUAUGAAAAACUUUGUUGCGAACAACCUUAUUCUGGACCUGAACCGCGAUCAUGUUGUCCAUUUCUAGAAGCACUUUGCACGCACCUAGAUUCUAGGUCAUAUACAGGCCAUCAAGAGCGCCCCAAAGCUUAGCCUGUAAGACAAAGCAAAUCCCAAUGUUUCUAUUAAAUCCCCUAAGCUAAGCUAUAACACCCCUAAACUCUUGGGUGUUAAAUAUACUUGUUGUCAUCCCUUAACUAAACUAUAACUACUAAACAGACAUUUUCUGCGUUCAACUAUCCACUAUACAUUAAAUAAUCCAAUUCAUCUAAAUAUAUUCAAUAUAUCACACAUUACAACCACCAAUACCAAAAUGAUAGGUGGAAACUCCCGUUUAUAAAAGGGAAUGUUAAAUUAUAACUUCAUAAGUGUAAGUCAAGAUGAGUCUAUACAGUUUGACUAAUCCGAUUCCUCUAAAUAUUAUACCGUAGUUGGUACUCCUAAGUCUAUUCCAUGUACUACUGCAUCUGAAAAUAAUAUAGAAUGAGCAUACUCUAGCACAAUAAAGUGAAUUCGGAACAUAAAACAAAGUAUGGAAAAACAUUUCCAUUUUUAGCCUAGCAUCCCCCCCUGUGUAAACCUACUCCAUGUGCAGAUAUGCCCCAACCACUUACUUCCACCCGUCUCCCUCAAAAGUCCUCAAUUAUUCUCUAACCAAUUAAUAAUACUGACUAGUCUACCUCCUCAUCACCGUUGGUGUGUCCUGUACCUACAAGACCUAAUUAACACAUAUUUCACAUCUAUGACAAUUAUAUAAGUUUACUCUAAACUUGUAUUCAAAAUACAAUGAUCUUACACAUAUGUAUAGUCAUGCCANNNNNNNNNNNNNNNNNNNNNNNNNNNNNNNNNNNNNNNNNNNNNNNNNNNNNNNNNNNNNNNNNNNNNNNNNNNNNNNNNNNNNNNNNNNNNNNNNNNNNNNNNNNNNNNNNNNNNNNNNNNNNNNNNNNNNNNNNNNNNNNNNNNNNNNNNNNNNNNAAGUGAUACACUACUAAAGUAGUUCAACCAUAAAACACAUGCAAACAUCGACCUUCACUCGGCCACCCACAUCAACACUACACCGACCAUUAUUCGACCGCAUUCACACACACCAACACCACAAUAACCCUCACUCGGCCACAUACACACACACUAACACCCUAACAGCCCUCGCUCGGCCACCCACACACUAACACCCAACGACCUCACUCAGCCAUCCACACACACUCUAACCCCCAAUGACCCUCACUUAGCCACCCACCUCAACCACACCAGCCACACACGCACAUCCUCACCACACCAGCCCUCACCCAACAGCCACCAAGUGACCAUACGCACGCAUACAGUUCUGCCACUAUUGGUAACCCACCGGCUACCCCUAGCCCACACACACACCAUUCCACCAUUAUUGGCUAAUCACCGAUCGUAUCAAAGCCACACACGCACUACAUUGUCUUGGUUCGCCUCUCAAUGGCUAUUCCAAGGCCACACACACACUAUUCCGCCACACCGGUACUCACCGGCCCUCCUCAAGGCCACACACACUAUUCCGCCACCAUUGGCACCCACCGACCAUCAUAUGGCCACAUACUCAUCCCACUACGCCAUCACUGGCAACCGACCAUUGAAUGGCCACUCAUACAACACACACAGCCCUUAUCGACACAUUAGAACACACACUCCUUCAAAAUCCAGUGAUGCUCCCAGAUUGUUUUACCUAUUUUCACCCUUAUCUCUCUAUCUCCACACAAUUCCUUCCUAUCAUCCCUAACCUCGACUCAGACGUUCUUACUACCUGAACUUUCUGCAACAUUAUUUAUUUCCUUUCUCCUUUCUCUUCUCAUAAACCAGAAAGUAAAAAUUCAAGGUGAAUCGCAAUAUUGAAAUUCAAAACUUUUUUACCCUUUUCUAGUAUUCGAUACUCACUUACCAAAAAAUCCGGCAAGAAUUUCAUAAUUGAUUUACCAUUACAAAGUUCACCAUUCAAAAUCCACUUACCUUUCCUUUCCGAGUGGGGUGUCGGAUCGCCUUCAUCUGUGGUUGCACUCUGAUAAAGUCUCUCGCGCUACCUCCUCCUUCUUAGCCUUGCGAGAGUUGCUUUCUCCUUUCUUUCUUAGUCGAGCUUUCUCCCUUUUUUCUUUAUAUUAACCUCACCCUCAAACCCUUCUGAUGUUGCAGAUGAGAAGAAGAAAAAGAAAGCUAUUCAUGCAGGUUAGGGGUUCAGG
rnacentral:lncRNA from 1 species